UUCAUAUGUGUGUUUUGGCCACAGUUCCGUCUAUUCAAUUGCGGUUUUCUUUGUCUAGGUAUUUCAAUAUCAGGAAGCCAAAAGAAAAGAGCUUCCUUUUAGAGCAAGAGCUUCCUAUAUUUCAUCUCUUUGUCUUUUAAACUCCUUAUUGUAUUUUGUGUUUUUCAGGAAGACGUCGACAUCUGAUGAACCUAAGCCAAAGAGACUUAGAAAGGCCAAGGAUACGAAGACGAGCUCUUCUAUCUUAAACAUGCCCUAACAACCUCUUACGGCUUCUUUAUCUUCAUGAAUGAAUUCUGUCAUUCUUUUAGACGAGAGCAUCUAAGUUCUCUCAUUAAGGAUGUUUCAAAGAUCGGUGGUGAAAAGUGGAAUUCUAUGACUGGGGAAUUGAGUUGCUUUAUUAUCUUGUUUAUUCUUUAGUUUCAUGGUGAUUUGUUUACUCUUUGUACUUUGAGAUAUUAGUACUCUUGUUGUGUAUAAGAGUAGUAGUUGAAUUUUUGUAUAAGACUUGUUAUAUAUGUUUUUAAUAAUUUAUGUAAUAAAAAUAAA